GAUGAACGCUGGCGGCGUGCCUAAUACAUGCAAGUCGAGCGAACAGACGAGGAGCUUGCUCCUCUGACGUUAGCGGCGGACGGGUGAGUAACACGUGGAUAACCUACUUAUAAGACUGGGAUAACUUCGGGAAACCGGAGCUAAUACCGGAUAAUAUAUUGAACCGCAUGGUUCAAUAGUGAAAGACGGUUUUGCUGUCACUUAUGGAUGGAUCCGCGCCGCAUUAGCUAGUUGGUAAGGUAACGGCUUACCAAGGCGACGAUGCGUAGCCGACCUGAGAGGGUGAUCGGCCACACUGGAACUGAGACACGGUCCAGACUCCUACGGGAGGCAGCAGUAGGGAAUCUUCCGCAAUGGGCGAAAGCCUGACGGAGCAACGCCGCGUGAGUGAUGAAGGUCUUCGGAUCGUAAAACUCUGUUAUUAGGGAAGAACAAAUGUGUAAGUAACUAUGCACGUCUUGACGGUACCUAAUCAGAAAGCCACGGCUAACUACGUG
rnacentral:rRNA from 1 species